rnacentral:lncRNA from 1 species
UAGGGGCGGGACCUGCGUGGGCGGAACCAAGAGCCUGGCCGGGGGGUCUCCUGAAUGGCGGUUCUGCCAGGCACUGGCUCCGCCACCCCAGCCCCCGCCCCAGAUGGCGCCCCGUCUAGGCUUCCCUGGGCGCGGCCGCCUUCUAGACCGGGGUCCUUGACACACGCCGUGUCCUCCCGGGGAAAGCCCGAGUAGGCGCAGUGGAAUCGCGGCUGCUGAACCUCCAGAAAUGUCACCGUCCCAGCACUGUGGCUCACGGCUGACCGCGCCCUGGAGGGUCUCCCUGUGUUUAUCCCUGCGAGGUCCUUCUACAGAGCUUUCAAGGAAGACAGAGUUCAGCCUGUUCAUUGGGAAGACUUUAAUCCCACUCAGGACAUCUACUGUGUCACUGUACCACUGUGGCCCAGCGCCUCGUGGAAUAUGGCUCCAUGACCCCUCCUGCAAGACUGUGAAGGAGUUCAGGGCACAGCUGAGCCCUCACACCCCAGCCCCAUCACUGCUCCUGGUGUGCACUGAGUGGAACUCUGUCCAGCCAGGAGACAGAGAAUAGUGGACAGCAUCCCGGCUCUUCAGAAGUAUACAGCGGCAAACUAAAGGCCUCAUGGACCCUCACUCAACAGCAGUGGAUUUUCAGGGCAUAAUACAGGCCCCAAACACUGAGCCUCUUCCUCCUGGGCAGGUACCUGGCUGGCCAGACAGGGCAGGGCAGGGGUGAGUGGGACCUCAGUGGGCAGCUGGUCCAGGACAGAACCACACAGGGAUGUGAUGGAAGUGCCGAUGGGAACUUUGAAAACAAUGCCUCUGCUCACCAAAGUAUCCCAGCUUCACUGUAGAAAAUAUAGACACUACAGGCCGGGCGUUGUGGCUCACGCCUGUAAUCCCAGCACUUUGGGAGGCCGAGGUGGGCGGAUCACGAGGUCAGGAGAUCGAGACCAUCCUGGCUAAUACAGUGAAACCCCAUCUCUACUAAAAUACAAAAAAGUAGCCAGGCGUGGUGGCAGGCACCUGUAGUCCCAGCUAUUCGGGAGGCUGAGGCAGGAGAAUGGCGGGAACCCGGGAGGUGGAGCUUGCAGUGAGCCGAGAUCGGGCCACUGCAUUCCAGCCUGGGCAACAGAGCGAGACUCCGUGUCAAGAAAAGAAAGAAAAGAAAAUAUAGACACUACAGAAGGGCACCAAGAUUCGAUAUGCUGCCCUACUGAGUUAACUCACACUAACAUGCCCACAUGUAUCCUGCAGGUGUUUCUCAAGCCUGUGCGUAUUGACAGUCAUGAGGUUAUGCUAAGCAUUGCCCUAUGUAUCUGCCACUAUGUAGUCUUUAACAUUGUUUAUUAAAC